rnacentral:rRNA from 1 species
UUGGAGGGCAAGUCUGGUGCCAGCAGCCGCGGUAAUUCCAGCUCCAAUAGCGUAUAUUAGAGUUGUUGCAGUUAAAAGGCUCGUAGUUGAAUUUCGAGAUCAGUACGCUGGUCGUGCCUUCGGUAUGCAAUGGUGUCACUGGUUUCUCCCUUCUGAAGCACUGUCAUGUCAUUAAGUUGGUGUGGCGGGGAAUCAGGACUGUUACUUUGAAAGAAUUAGAGUGUUUAAAGCAGGCUCGCGCUUGAAUACAUUAGCAUGGAAUAAUGAGAUAGGACGUUUGACCCUAUUUUGUUGGUUUCUAGGAUCGACGUAAUGAUUAAUAGGGGUAGUUGGGGGCAUUAGUAUUCAAUUGUCAGAGGUGAAAUUCUUGGAUUUAUUGAAGACUAACUACUGCGAAAGCAUUUGCCAAGGAUGUUUUCAUCAAUCAAGAACGAAAGUUAGGGGAUCGAAGACGAUCAGAUACCGUCGUAGUCUUAACCAUAAACUAUGCCGACUAGGGAUCGGAUGAUGUUAAUUUUUUAAUGACUCAUUCGGCGCCUUACGGGAAAC